AGUGAACGCUGGCGGUAGGCCUAACACAUGCAAGUCGAACGGCAGCACAGUAAGAGCUUGCUCUUACGGGUGGCGAGUGGCGGACGGGUGAGGAAUACAUCGGAAUCUACUUUUUCGUGGGGGAUAACGUAGGGAAACUUACGCUAAUACCGCAUACGACCUACGGGUGAAAGCAGGGGAUCUUCGGACCUUGCGCGAUUGAAUGAGCCGAUGUCGGAUUAGCUAGUUGGCGGGGUAAAGGCCCACCAAGGCGACGAUCCGUAGCUGGUCUGAGAGGAUGAUCAGCCACACUGGAGCUGAGACACGGUCCAGAGUCCUACGGGAGGCAGCGGUGGGGAAUAUUGGACAAUGGGCGCAAGCCUGAUCCAGCCAUACCGCGUGGGUGAAGAAGGCCUUCGGGUUGUAAAGCCCUUUUGUUGGGAAAGAAAAGCAGCAGGUUAAUACCCCGCUGUUCUGACGGUACCCAAAGAAUAAGCACCGGCUAACUUCGU
rnacentral:rRNA from 1 species